GCUCCGCUAGCUCAGUAGGCAGAGCGUGUGGCUGUUAACCACAAGGUCGGUGGUCGAACCCAU
rnacentral:tRNA from 1 species